rnacentral:rRNA from 27 species
CAAAACGACUCUCGGCAACGGAUAUCUCGGCUCUUGCAUCGAUGAAGAACGUAGCGAAAUGCGAUACGUGGUGUGAAUUGCAGAAUCCCGUGAACCAUCGAGUUUUUGAACGCAAGUUGCGCCCAAAGCCUUUUGGUUGAGGGCACGUCUGCCUGGG